UCUCAAAAACUUUCUCAUAUUUCCUAACAUCUCCAUCAAAUGAUGCUGCAAUACUCUCUUUGGCUCUAUCCAUAGCUUCAUAAAGAUAGCCCAUUGGUGAUUUUUUCUCACCCACCAACUUUAAGAGCCCGAACGACAUCAUUCCAGAAUGAUGGAGCAAUAAAAAUUUUGGCAACCUCUCUCCCCGCAGCUUCCUUUUCAUAUUUAUUAUCUUUCCAAUCAGUCGAAAGAACUAGUUUUCUCAAAUUUCCCUUUUGCAAGAAAAAACUAUGCAAAGUUAAAAAAAGUCGUUGCAAAUCUAGUCUUGGCCGGUCUCACCAAAUUUCUUUCUUGUGUGAAUUUUCUGCAGCACAUGGAGUCCAAUAAAUAUUUGGAUAGAUAGCUUCCAUCAUCUUCCCCGCACUAACAUUCUCACUAGCAUUAUCUGUAAUAACCCCGUACAACAUUUUCCUUUCCAAUUUUAUCAAUAGUAUUUCUAAACAAGCUGUACAUUUUGCUUCCAUCUGUAGAAGAGUUGCUAGCAUCGUAAGAUUCAAGAAAAACACUCCCUCUUGGAGAGUUCACCAACACAUUUAUGAUCAUUUUCCCAUUCCGUGCUGUCCACUUAUCCAUCAUAAUNNNNNNNNNNNNNNNNNCCAUCUGUAGAAGAGUUGCUAGCAUCAUGAGAUUCAAGAAAAACACUCCCUCUUGGAGAGUUCACCAACACAUUUAUGAUCAUUUUCCCAUUUCGUGUUGUCCACUUAUCCAUCAUAAUGGAACAACCAAACUUGAUCCAUUCCGCUUUAUGCUCCUCAAUAAUUUGGUCUACCUUCUUCACCUCCUUUUUAAGAUGAGUUACUCUAACUUCAUGAUAGCUAGGAGGCUGCAUCCCCAGGCCAUAUUGUCCUACGGCCUCAAUGAAUUUAUCAAAAGUUUUGUGGUUGACACAGUUGAAAGGAAGCCCUGCAUCGUACAUCCAUGAUACAAAGGCACUGACCCCGCGAUCUCUCAAAGUCUUCUUGACAUCUUUACCCGAACCUUCUUCGCCUUUUCCCCUUUCUUGUUGUUUUUCCGAGUAAUAAAGAUUGAUAGGGCCUUUUGCCACCGAACGUGCCGUGGAGGACCCACUAGAUUGAGAGUGUCUUUUAGGGGGGAGGUCCCAUUUCACCUUCUUCAUCCAUCUCAUCAUCUUCAUCAAUUAGAUUCACGGAAUUCACCGAUGCUUCAUAACUCAUCUGAGUUCUUACUAAAUGUUUCUUUUCAACAAAAGCUUUUAUUUCCUCCCUAACCUCGGGCGGACAAAGGGGACAUUGUAGUACAUUUUUAAAUCCAUCGAUCAAAUGUUGCUGGUGACGAAUUAUCCCACCAUUAUAUGUUUUUCCAUAGAACACACAUUUAAUUGCAAUUCUUGACGGGCCUUGUAUAUCAUAAUUCCAAGCUAUAUCUCGUUAGUAUUAUCGGAUGAAAUUUCAAUGCUGUUUUAUGUACCAAU
rnacentral:lncRNA from 1 species